ACAGGGAUUGCCUCAGUAACGGCGAGUGAAGCGGCAACAGCUCAAAUUUGAAAUCUGGCCGCAAGGUCCGAGUUGUAAUUUGUAGAGGAUGCUUUUGGCGAGGUGACUUCCGAGUUCCCUGGAACGGGACGCCAUAGAGGGUGAGAGCCCCGUACGGUCGUGCCACCGAGCCUCUGUAAAGCUCCUUCGACGAGUCGAGUAGUUUGGGAAUGCUGCUCUAAAUGGGAGGUGUACGUCUUCUAAAGCUAAAUACCGGCCAGAGACCGAUAGCGCACAAGUAGAGUGAUCGAAAGAUGAAAAGCACUUUGAAAAGAGGGUUAAAAAGUACGUGAAAUUGUUGAAAGGGAAGCAUUCAUGACCAGACUUGGGCUUGGUUGAACAUCCGGCGUUCUCGCCGGUGCACUCUGCCAGCUCAGGCCAGCAUCAGUUUGCCCCGGGGGACAAAGGCGGCGGGAAUGUGGCUCCCUACGGGGAGUGUUAUAGCCCGUCGUGUAAUGCCCUGGGGUGGACUGAGGUUCGCGCUUCGGCACGGAUGCUGGCGUAAUGGUCAUCAAUGACCCGUCUUGAAACACGGACCAAGGAGUCGUCUUCGUAUGCGAGUGUUCGGGUGUCAAACCCCUACGCGUAAUGAAAGUGAACGUAGGUGAGAGCUUCGGCGCAUCACCGACCGAUCCUGAUGUUCUCGGAUGGAUUUGAGUAAGAGCAUACGGGGCCGGACCCGAAAGAAGGUGAACUAUGCCUGUAUAGGGUGAAGCCAGAGGAAACUCUGGUGGAGGCUCGCAGCGGUUCUGACGUGCAAAUCGAUCGUCAAAUAUGGGCAUGGGGGCGAAAGACUAAUCGAACCUUCUAGUAGCUGGUUUCCGCCGAAGUUUCCCUCAGGAUAGCAGUGUUGAACUCAGUUUUAUGAGGUAAAGCGAAUGAUUAGGGACCAGGGGGCGCUAUAUAGCCUUCAUCCAUUCUCAAACUUUAAAUAUGUAAGAAGCCCUUGUUGCUUAAUUGAACGUGGGCAUUCGAAUGUAUCAACACUAGUGGGCCAUUUUUGGUAAGCAGAACUGGCGAUGCGGGAUGAACCGAACGCGAGGUUAAGGUGCCAGAGUAGACGCUCAUCAGACACCACAAAAGGUGUUAGUACAUCUUGACAGCAGGACGGUGGCCAUGGAAGUCGGAAUCCGCUAAGGACUGUGUAACAACUCACCUGCCGAAUGUACUAGCCCUGAAAAUGGAUGGCGCUCAAGCGUCUCACCCAUACCUCGCCCUCAGGGUUGAAAUGAUGCCCUGAGGAGUAGGCGGACGUAGAGGUCAGUGACGAAGCCUAGGGCG
rnacentral:rRNA from 1 species